GGGCCCAUAGCUCAGCGGUUAGAGCGGCCGGCUCAUAACUGGUUGGUCCCUGGUUCGAAUCCAGGUGGGCCCA
rnacentral:tRNA from 1 species